rnacentral:rRNA from 1 species
GAUGAACGCUGGCGGCGUGCCUAAUACAUGCAAGUCGAGCGAACGGACGAGAAGCUUGCUCCUCUGAUGUUAUCGGCGGACGGGUGAGUAACACGUGGAUAACCUACCUAUAAGACUGGGAUCACUUCGGGAAACUGGAGUUAAUACCGGAUAAUAUUAUGAACCGCAUGGUUCAAAAGUGAAAGACGGUUUUGCUGUCACUUAUAGAUGGAUCCGCGCUGCAUUAGCUAGUUGGUAAGGUAACGGCUUACCAAGGCAACGAUGCAUAGCCGACCUGAGAGGGUGAUCGGCCACACUGGAACUGAGACACGGUCCAGACUCCUACGGGAGGAGGCAGUAGGGAAUCUUCCGCAAUGGGCGAAAGCCUGACGGGGCACCGCCGCGUGAGUGAUGAAGUUCUUCGGAUCGAAAAACUCUGUUAUAAGGGAAGAACAUAUGUGUAAGUAACUGUGCACAUCUUGACGGUACCUAAUCAGAAAGCCACGGCUAACUACGUG